UACGUAGGGUGCAAGCGUUAAUCGGAGUUACUGGGCGUAAAGCGUGCGCAGGCGGUUCGCUAAGACAGAUGGGAAAUCCCCGGGCUUAACCUGGGAACUGCAUUUGUGACUGGCGGGCUAGAGUAUGGCAGAGGGGGGUAGAAUUCCACGUGUAGCAGUGAAAUGCGUAGAGAUGUGGAGGAAUACCGAUGGCGAAGGCAGCCCCCUGGGCCAAUACUGACGCUCAUGCACGAAAGCGUGGGGAGCAAACAGG
rnacentral:rRNA from 1 species